CGAAAAAUCCACAUUUUAUGUACUUUUAGAUGUCUUAUGCAUAACGGGUUACUUUUAAUAGCCAAAUGCAUCCCCUACAACGCAAUCAGCAUUCUUUUAUAACCCUUUUUUAAGAUACAAAAAGUUGGCGAUAUCGCCAACUUCCCUACUUUUAAAAAAAUGCCAAAAACUGUUGGCGAUAUCGCCAACUUCACUGACGUGAAUAAAUGUGCCCGGUUGCCGUGAAGAGUAAACUAUAUUUUACCACAACCUCUUUGGACUGCAAUUCAAAGAAAAAUCUGCAGCGGCUCUCACUCGGAACUACAAGUUGGCUGAAGACUAUGCUCUCACCUGGAAAGACGGUCCGAGGAAUGAAGAUGCCACUCGUCUUGUCCUGCCGCAGGGAGAGCGCUGCAGCCCCUACAGCGAAAGGAAAAGUCCAACAUCCCAAAGGAACUUCGCACCUUCGCAGCAAAAAACUGGUCCGAGAUCUUCAUGGGCAACUUUCAUCAGGCCGAAGUCACGUCAGAGCAAUAAUUAAAAUAUUUUAUUUCAAUUUUUUUUUUAAAUUAUCGUUUUAUGUUAGGGAAAUUUUAUAAUUUGAUAUGUGCAAAAUGUAAAUAAAUUUUAUAGAAGGAACUUGUAUAAAAUGUAUCAAAUUUUGGAUGUUAUGUGUCAAAGAAGAACGCACAUAAAGAAUUUUUUCUAAAAAGAAUUGUAAUUAUGGACCAUUUAUGAUUAAAAUUUUAUUCCUUAAUUCUUUUACAG